GACGAACGCUGGCGGCGUGCUUAACACAUGCAAGUCGAACGGAAAGGCCCUGCUUUUGUGGGGUGCUCGAGUGGCGAACGGGUGAGUAACACGUGAGUAACCUGCCCUUGACCUUGGGAUAACUUCAGGAAACUGGGGCUAAUACCGGAUAGGAGCUCCUGCUGCAUGGUGGGGGUUGGAAAGUUUCGGCGGUUGGGGAUGGACUCGCGGCUUAUCAGCUUGUUGGUGGGGUAGUGGCUUACCAAGGCUUUGACGGGUAGCCGGCCUGAGAGGGUGACCUGCCACAUUGGGACUGAGAUACGGCCCAGACUCCUACGGGAGGCAGCAGUGGGGAAUAUUGCACAAUGGGCGGAAGCCUGAUGCAGCAACGCCGCGUGCGGGAUGACGGCCUUCGGGUUGUAAACCGCUUUCGCCUGUGACGAAGCGUGAGUGACGGUAAUGGGUAAAGAAGCACCGGCUAACUACGUG
rnacentral:rRNA from 1 species